CCCCCUUAUGUGCACCUUAUUCCUUAACGGUUUGAGCCAUAACUCCCAAAGACAAUUCUUACCAUCCCUUUGGGGUAUUCCAAUAUCCAAAAUCUAAAUACAUGGUUAGAUUCAGCAUAUCAAAGAACCCCAAGAAUUCAAUUUUUGAUGAAAUCAAAUAAAGUUCAAUUUUGGACCCGUUAGACCUCACUGUGGACCAAUUGAUAACCAGGCCCAAAUAUCAAAUAUCUAAAAACAUGAUUAGAUUCAGCAUAUAUCAAAGAACCCCAUAUAUUCAAUUUUUGUUGAAAUCAAACAAAGUU
rnacentral:lncRNA from 1 species